UACGAAGGGGGCUAGCGUUGUUCGGAUUUACUGGGCGUAAAGCGCGCGUAGGCGGAUCGUUAAGUCGGGGGUGAAAUCCUGGAGCUCAACUCCAGAACUGCCUUCGAUACUGGCGAUCUCGAGUCCGGAAGAGGUGAGUGGAACUCCUAGUGUAGAGGUGGAAUUCGUAGAUAUUAGGAAGAACACCAGUGGCGAAGGCGGCUCACUGGUCCGGUACUGACGCUGAUGUACGAAAGCGUGGGGAGCAAACAGG
rnacentral:rRNA from 1 species